rnacentral:rRNA from 1 species
UGCGUAGGUGGCUAGAUAAGUUAUCUGUAAAAUCCCUGGGCUUAACCUGGGCAGGUCAGAUAAGACUGUUUGACUCGAGUAUGGGAGAGGGUAGUGGAAUUUCCGGUGUAGCGGUGAAAUGCGUAGAGAUCGGAAGGAACACCAGUGGCGAAGGCGGCUACCUGGCCUAAUACUGACACUGAGGCACGAAAGCGUGGGGAGCAAACA